AUACGUAUGUCGCAAGCGUUAUCCGGAUUUAUUGGGCGUAAAGCGCGUCUAGGCGGCUUAGUAAGUCUGAUGUGAAAAUGCGGGGCUCAACCCCGUAUUGCGUUGGAAACUGCUAAACUAGAGUACUGGAGAGGUAGGCGGAACUACAAGUGUAGAGGUGAAAUUCGUAGAUAUUUGUAGGAAUGCCGAUGGGGAAGCCAGCCUACUGGACAGAUACUGACGCUAAAGCGCGAAAGCGUGGGUAGC
rnacentral:rRNA from 1 species